rnacentral:rRNA from 1 species
GAUCUUGGUUCAGGAUGAACGCUGGCGGCGUGCCUAACACAUGCAAGUCGAGCGAUUCUCUUCGGAGAAGAGCGGCGGACGGGUGAGUAACGCGUGGGUAACCUGCCUCAUACACAUGGAUAACAUACCGAAAGGUAUGCUAAUACAGGAUAAUAUAAGAGAUUCACAUGGAUUUCUUAUCAAAGCUCCGGCGGUAUGAGAUGGACCCGCGUCUGAUUAGCUAGUUGGUAAGGUAACGGCUUACCAAGGCGACGAUCAGUAGCCGACCUGAGAGGGUGAUCGGCCACAUUGGAACUGAGACACGGUCCAAACUCCUACGGGAGGCAGCAGUGGGGAAUAUUGCACAAUGGGCGAAAGCCUGAUGCCAGCAACGCCGCGUGAGUGAUGAAGGCCUUCGGGUCGUAAAGCUCUGUCCUCAAGGAAGAUAAUGACGGUACUUGAGGAGGAAGCCCCGGCUAACUACGUGCCAGCCGCCGC